AUGAAUUAUACAGUAACCAUAUUCACGUAGGUUCUGAGUGUUGCGAUUGUGACUAUUUGACCUAUCCGGAUAUCAGGUACCAUUGCUAGAUGGUCACUUCGAUUAGUACAGGAAUUGGUUCUUGUGCUAUCGGCUUAGGUUCGAACCUGCGGGGUCACACACAUUAGAGGUUCCUAUCUGAUCUGAUAGCUGGUGAAGAGUCUUUCAUGUCUGGGAUUCUGUGAUCGAGAAUCAGGAUUCUCUGAUCAC
rnacentral:lncRNA from 1 species